rnacentral:miRNA from 1 species
AUAUACACAUUCCAGCCAAUCAGCAGCAGGCCCUCCCUCCCAGACCCUCCCACCUCCUGGACAGCAUCCAUUUUACAUUCAUUGUGAAGCUGCAUUCUUAGUGAGCUGUCCAGGAGGUGGGAGGGUCUGGGAGGGAGGGUCUGCUGCUGAUUGGCUGGAAUGUGUCUG